GAAUAUUAUUAUAGAUAGAGAUAAACUGUAAACAGCAAUAAUGUUCAGCAAAGUAAUAUUUACAAAUUAAGUCAACAUGACCGAAAUGGUCAGUUGACCCCUUUAGGAGUUAUUGCCCUUUAUAGUCAAUUUUUAACCAUUUUUCGUAAAUCUUAGUAAUCUUUUACAAAAAUCUUCUCCUCUGAAACUACUGGGCCAAAUCAAUCCAAACUUGGCCACAACCAUCUUUGGGGUAUGUAGUUUGAAAAAUGUGUCCAGUGACCCAGCCAUCCAAUCAAGAUGGCCGCCAUGGCUAAAAAUAGAACCUUGGGUAAAAUGCAGUUUUUGGCUUAUAACUCAAAAACCAAAGCAUUUAGAGUAAAUCUGACAUGAGGUAAAUUUGUUUAUCAGGUCAAGAUCUACCUGCCCUGAAAUUUUCAGAUGAAUUGGACAACCCGGUUUUGGGUUGCUGCCCCAGAAUAAGUAAUUUUAAUGAAAUUUUGCUGUUUUUGGUUAUUAUCUUGAAUAUUAUUAUAGAUAGAGAUAAACUGUAAACAGCAAUAAUGUUCAGCAAAAAAAGAUUUACAAAUAAGUCAACAUGACUGAAAUGGUCAGUUGACCCCUUUAGGAGUUAUUGCCCUUAAUAGUCAAUUUUUAACCAUUUUUCGUAAAUCUUAGUAAUUUUUUACAUCUUCUCCUCUGAAACUACUUGGCCAAAUUACACCAAACUUGGCCAAAAUCAUCAUUGGGGUAUCUUGUUUAAAAAAGUGUCCAGUGACCCGGCCAACCAUCCAAGAUGGCCGCCAUGGCUAAAAAUAGAACAUAGGGGUAAAAUGCAGUUUUGGGCUUAUAACUCAAAAACCAAAGCAUUUAGAGCAAAUCUGACAGGGGUAAAAUUGUGUAACAGGUCAAGAUCUAUCUGCCUUGAAAUUUUCAGAUAAAUCGGAUAACCUGUUGUUGGGUUGCUGCCCCUGAAUUAGUAAUUUUAAGGAAAUUUUUCUGUUUUUGGUUAUUAUCUUGAAUAUUGUUAUAGAUAGAGAUAACUUGUAAACAGCAAUAAUGUUCAGCUAAAUAAGAUCUAGAAAUAAGUCAACAUGACCAAAAUCGUCAGUUGACCCCUUAAGGAGUUGUUGCCCAUUUUAUUCAAUUUUUAACAAUUUUCACUAAUUUGGUAAAUUUUUGUAAAUUUUUUACAAAAUAUUUUUUCACUGUAUCUAAAGGUCCAAGUUUAUUUAUAGAUAGAGAAAUUCUAAGUACCAAGAAUGUUCAGUAAAGUAAGAUCUACAAACACAUCACUAUCAGCAAAACACAAUUUUGUCAUGAAUCCAUCUGUGUCCUUUGUUUAAUAUGCACAUAGACCAAGGUGAGCGACACAGGCUCUUUAGAGCCUCUAGUUUUUUUUAAAGAACUGUCAAAAAA
rnacentral:lncRNA from 1 species